UACAGAGGGUGCAAGCGUUAAUCGGAAUUACUGGGCGUAAAGCGCGCGUAGGUGGUUCGUUAAGUUGGAUGUGAAAUCCCCGGGCUCAACCUGGGAACUGCAUUCAAAACUGACGAGCUAGAGUAUGGUAGAGGGUGGUGGAAUUUCCUGUGUAGCGGUGAAAUGCGUAGAGAUGUGGAGGAACACCAAUGGCGAAGGCAGCCCCCUGGGCCAACACUGACGCUCAUGCACGAAAGCGUGGGGAGCAAACAGG
rnacentral:rRNA from 1 species